UGGGUGGCGCAGUCGGUUAAGCGUCCGACUUCAGCCAGGUCACGAUCUCGAGGUCCGUGAGUUCGAGCCCCGCGUCAGGCUCUGGGCUGAUGGCUCAGAGCCUGGAGCCUGUUUCCGAUUCUGUGUCUCCCUCUCUCUCUGCCCCUCCCCGUUCAUGCUCUGUCUCUCUCUGUCCCAAAAUAAAUAAACGUUGAAAAAAAAAUUAAAAAAAAAAGAAAAGUUAUUUUCCUUUUCUUCAAUUUCGAGACAAACUCUGCUUGGUAGAGAUGUUAUUUUUUUACUGUAUUGCUGGAUUCCAUUUUUUAACAUUUUAAUUAAAUCCCCUAUUCACAAGAACUGAUAACUGAUAUAUGCUUUCCUAUUAGUUUUGUGUCUAAAUGAUACUCCCAGUUCUUUUUACUUUUGCAAUCUUUUAUUGAAGUUUCUAUUUUCAAUCACAGAAAAAAGGGAGCACUCACAUACCAUUGUCUAUAUUGGACAAAUUUCACCUUUUGCCGUAUUUGCUUUAUCUUAUGUUUGCUGAAAUAUUUUAAAGUAAGUUAGGUAUAUUUCACUCCUACUUCAGCAUGUAUCUCUAAAACUAAGUACAUUCUUUAAUAGCGCAUCUAUACUCAAAUUCCCAUAAUUGUCCGCAAAUGUCUUUUAAAGAUUUUUUUUUCCAAAACUAGGACGCAGUAAAGGACCACAAAUUACAUUUAGUAGUUCUAUGUAGGGCCAAAACCACAGACCUGCCGUAGUAACAAUCCCCAUACCCUUUGAAUGGGAUAGGUUUAUUUACAUUUUUAUUUACAGGAGUGCACGCGAAGGAUUAUGGUAGACGUAGUCUUGAAUUUUAUUUGCUUACCCAGCAGUACUUGCGCCCUAGCCGUGGAGAGUGCUGCGCAGGCGCAGCUCCGCCAUCUUCCUGGUACCCCUCCUACGCCUACAGGUUUAGCGAAGCCCUAUAUUCCGUUUCCAGGAUUUCCCAAUAACUCUCAAGGUCCUGGUUGCCCACCUUCCUAACAGCAGAGUCCCCCAGAGUGUUUACUGGAGAGGCCCUAUUCUUAACUGACUGCCGGCCUGCCAGGCUUUGUGAGACAACUCAAAGAAGAUACUCUUCUAGUCACACCAUAGGAUCCAUACCACCUACCUACCUCUGUGGAGAGAUUUCAGAGCAAGGGGCUCAGGGCAGCCACAGUUCCUUCAAGGGGUCAGCAGCAUCAGUCCAGAGGCACAGACCGCACAAAGGGAGAGUCCCCUCCAAGAAUUCCUCUCCCAGUCCCCAGUGUGGAUGCGUGAGCCCAGAUGAACCGCUGCCAACUGCUCCAUCGGUGGAGAACCAGGUAAGCAGACGGCAGGACCUCAGAAGGACAACAGUCCCAUCUGCAUUGCCAGAUUUGUAACCCAAGUAACAAGAGUUUGCUCCUUGGUGUGUCCCAGAUAGAAACUACAUCAGGUGGAGUUGUUGCACAAAGAGGGUCAUGGCGAGUGACUUCCAAAACCUGACUGCCCGAGCAAGGGUAAAUGGGUUCCUCUGUUUAGGAAUAGGAUGAAUAUUUAGAUAGGGAAGCCUCGUCCGCCACAGCUCACACACACACACACACACACACACACACACACACACACACACUCUCACUCUCUCACUCUCGCACGCGCACGUACUUUCACUUUAAUAAACUUUCCCACUGUGUUGUGUCUGUCCUUGAGUUCUUUCUUGUGAUGAGACCAAGAACCUUGGUGACAUCUUUGGGAGGGCUCUGGGGUCAAGGCUCCAUGGCCCAGGAUCCCCAGUUCACCCAGCAGCAAUUUCUAUAUACCCCAUGUUAAUUUUCCCUAUUUCUAACAUCUUAUGUAAGUGUGGUACAUUUGUCCCAAUUAGUAAGCCAAUAAAGUCUGUAUUUUCUCAUAUUUUUCUCAGUUUUUCUGUACGUUAUUUGUUCUGUGUUCCUUUCUAGGAUACUGUACUACAUUUAGUAGUCUUAUCUGCUUAAGAGCAUCAUGGCUGUGAUCAGUUCAAACUCUCACUUCCUAAUUAAUUUC
ensembl:lncRNA